AGAGUUUGAUCCUGGCUCAGGAUGAACGCUGGCGGCGUGCCUAACACAUGCAAGUCGAGCGAACCCUUCGGGGUGAGCGGCGGACGGGUGAGUAACGCGUGGGUAACCUGCCCUGUACACACGGAUAACAUACCGAAAGGUAUGAUAAUACGGGAUGAAAUAUGAGAGUCGCAUGGCUUUUGUAUCAAAGCUCCGGCGGUACAGGAUGGACCCGCGUCUGAUUAGCUAGUUGGUAAGGUAACGGCUUACCAAGGCAACGAUCAGUAGCCGACCUGAGAGGGUGAUCGGCCACAUUGGAACUGAGACACGGUCCAAACUCCUACGGGAGGCAGCAGUGGGGAAUAUUGCACAAUGGGCGAAAGCCUGAUGCAGCAACGCCGCGUGAGCGAUGAAGGCCUUCGGGUCGUAAAGCUCUGUCCUCAAGGAAGAUAAUGACGGUACUUGAGGAGGAAGCCCCGGCUAACUACGUGCCAGCAGCCGCGGUAAUACGUAGGGGGCUAGCGUUAUCCGGAAUUACUGGGCGUAAAGGGUGCGUAGGCGGUCUUUCAAGCCAGAAGUGAAAGGCUACGGCUCAACCGUAGUAAGCUUUUGGAACUGUAGGACUUGAGUGCAGGAGAGGAGAGUGGAAUUCCUAGUGUAGCGGUGAAAUGCGUAGAUAUUAGGAGGAACACCAGUAGCGAAGGCGGCUCUCUGGACUGUAACUGACGCUGAGGCACGAAAGCGUGGGGAGCAAACAGGAUUAGAUACCCUGGUAGUCCACGCCGUAAACGAUGAGUACUAGGUGUCGGGGGUUACCCCCCUCGGUGCCGCAGCUAACGCAUUAAGUACUCCGCCUGGGAAGUACGCUCGCAAGAGUGAAACUCAAAGGAAUUGACGGGGACCCGCACAAGUAGCGGAGCAUGUGGUUUAAUUCGAAGCAACGCGAAGAACCUUACCUAAGCUUGACAUCCCAUUGACCUCUCCCUAAUCGGAGAUUUCCCUUCGGGGACAGUGGUGACAGGUGGUGCAUGGUUGUCGUCAGCUCGUGUCGUGAGAUGUUGGGUUAAGUCCCGCAACGAGCGCAACCCUUGCCUUUAGUUGCCAGCAUUAAGUUGGGCACUCUAGAGGGACUGCCGAGGAUAACUCGGAGGAAGGUGGGGAUGACGUCAAAUCAUCAUGCCCCUUAUGCUUAGGGCUACACACGUGCUACAAUGGGUGGUACAGAGGGUUGCCAAGCCGUGAGGUGGAGCUAAUCCCUUAAAGCCAUUCUCAGUUCGGAUUGUAGGCUGAAACUCGCCUACAUGAAGCUGGAGUUACUAGUAAUCGCAGAUCAGAAUGCUGCGGUGAAUGCGUUCCCGGGUCUUGUACACACCGCCCGUCACACCAUGGGAGUUGGGGGCGCCCGAAGCCGGUUAGCUAACCUUUUAGGAAGCGGCCGUCGAAGGUGAAACCAAUGACUGGGGUGAAGUCGUAACAAGGUAGCCGUAUCGGAAGGUGCGGCUGGAUCACCU
rnacentral:rRNA from 1 species